UUUGCGAAUUGCUCAUUUAAAUGUCAUUGAAAUUCAGGAUAUUGCAAUAAUCGGAUUUAUUUUUGCAGAUGGUGUCAGAUGCUAUGACGAAGGGUGAGAAUUAAGAUCGAUCUGAAGUUUACUAUCUACAAGAUGGAAUGUAAAAGCUGAGACGUGAAGAGCAGAGCGUAAUACUCCUCCAGUCGUAUGAACGGAAGGCACAUACGUACUCUCGAAGAGCAGCGGCGCGGCGGCUAAUAACAGGACAAGUGACAAAUAUAUCGGCUCGGAAUAUGGAAGGCAAAGAUUCCUCGAAAAUAAAUCGUCUAGAGGUGCUGAAAAUGGAAUAUGCGGACAAGCAACGUAAAUAAAGGUAAUUCGCCCACCUUGAAGUUUUAACAAAAGCGCAGCAGGAUGUAUAGCACAUGGCAGACAUCUGAACGAAAGUAGCACCAACAACCAUUAGGACCAAAGAAUAUAAUGAUUUUUGUAAUAUUUCUAAAAAUGUUCUAUUGCGACGAAGGAAUUUUCUUCUUUAUUCGAAGACAUAAAAGAAACUGCUUUGUAAUAA